UACGGGCAGGAGGAAGGCAGGUGGCUGCAGAGGAGGCCCGGAGCCGGAAGGCCCUGCCCACUCCCCUGGCUGUGGGCCU
rnacentral:miRNA from 1 species